rnacentral:rRNA from 1 species
CCUACGGGAGGCAGCAGUGAGGAAUAUUGGUCAAUGGGCGCGAGCCUGAACCAGCCAAGUAGCGUGAAGGAUGACUGCCCUACGGGUUGUAAACUUCUUUUAUAAAGGAAGAAAGUGAGGCACGUGUGCCUUUUGGGAUGGACUUUAUGAAUAAGGAGAGGCUAACUCCGAGCCAGCAGCCGCGGUAAUAAGGAGGAUCCGAGCGUUAUCCGGAUUUAUUGGGGGUAACGGGAGCGUAGAUGGGUUGUUAAGUCAGUUGUGAAAGUUUGCGGCUCAACCGUAAAAGUGGAAUUGAUACUGGCAGUCUUGAGUACAGUUGAGGUAGGCGGAAUUCGUGGUGUAGCGGUGAAAUGCUUAGAUAUCACGAAGAACUCCGAUUGCGAAGGCAGCUUACUAAACUGCCACUGACAUUGAUGCUCGAAAGUGUGGGUAUCAAACAGGAUUAGAUACCCGUGUAGUC